rnacentral:rRNA from 1 species
GAUGAACCCUUUCGGCAGGCCUAACACAUGCAAGUCGAGGGGCAGCACGGUGUAGCAAUACACUGGUGGCGACCGGCGCACGGGUGCGUAACGCGUAUGCAACCUACCCAUAACAGGGGGAUAACACUGAGAAAUUGGUACUAAUACCCCAUAACAUCAGGACCGGCAUCGGUUCUGGUUGAAAACUCCGGUGGUUAUGGAUGGGCAUGCGUUGUAUUAGCUGGUUGGUGAAGUAACGGCUCACCAAGGCAACGAUACAUAGGGGGACUGAGAGGUUAACCCCCCACAUUGGUACUGAAACACGGACCAAACUCCUACGGGAGGCAACAGUGAAGAAUAUUGGUCAAUGGACGCAAGUCUGAACCCUCCAUGCCGCGUGCAAGAAGACGGCUCUAUGAAUUGUAAACUGCUUUUGUACAAAAAAUAACUCUCUUACGUGUAAGAGCCCUGAAAGUAUCGUACGAAUAAGGAUCGGCUAAUUCCGUGCCAGCAGCCGCGGUAAUACGGAGGAUCCCAGCGUUAUCCGGAUUUAUUGGGUUUAAAGGGUGCGUAGGCGGUUUGAUAAGUUAGAGGUGAAAUACCGGUGCUUAACACCGGAACUGCCUCUAAUACUGUUGAACUAGAGAGUAGUUGCGGUAGGCGGAAUGUAUGGUGUAGCGGUGAAAUGCUUAGAGAUCAUACAGAACACCGAUUGCGAAGGCAGCUUACCAAACUAUAUCUGACCGUUGAGGCACGAA